rnacentral:rRNA from 1 species
GAUGAACGCUAGCUACAGGCUUAACACAUGCAAGUCGAGGGGAAACGACAUCGAAAGCUUGCUUUUGAUGGGCGUCGACCGGCGCACGGGUGAGUAACGCGUAUCCAACCUGCCCAUCACUUGGGAAUAACCUUGCGAAAGUAAGACUAAUACCCAAUGACAUCCCACGAAGACAUCUGAAUGGGAUUAAAGAUUUAUCGGUGAUGGAUGGGGAUGCGUCUGAUUAGCUUGUUGGCGGGGUAACGGCCCACAAAGGCAACGAUCAGUAGGGGUUCUGAGAGGAAGGUCCCCCACAUUGGAACUGAGACACGGUCCAAACUCCUACGGGAGGCAGCAGUGAGGAAUAUUGGUCAAUGGGCGAGAGCCUGAACCAGCCAAGUAGCGUGCAGGAUGACGGCCCUAUGGGUUGUAAACUGCUUUUAUAAGGGAAUAAAGUGGGUCUCGUGAGACUUUUUGCAUGUACCUUAUGAAUAAGGACCGGCUAAUUCCGUG